rnacentral:rRNA from 1 species
GAUGAACGCUGGCGGCGUGCCUAAUACAUGCAAGUCGAGCGAACAGACGAGGAGCUUGCUCCUCUGACGUUAGCGGCGGACGGGUGAGUAACACGUGGAUAACCUACCUAUAAGACUGGGAUAACUUCGGGAAACCGGAGCUAAUACCGGAUAAUAUAUGGAACCGCAUGGUUCAAUAGUGAAAGACGGGUUUGCUGUCACUUAUAGAUGGAUCCGCGCCGCAUUAGCUAGUUGGUAAGGUAACGGCUUACCAAGGCAACGAUGCGUAGCCGACCUGAGAGGGUGAUCGGCCACACUGGAACUGAGACACGGUCCAGACUCCUACGGGAGGCAGCAGUAGGGAAUCUUCCGCAAUGGGCGAAAGCCUGACGGAGCAACGCCGCGUGAGUGAUGAAGGUCUUCGGAUCGUAAAACUCUGUUAUUAGGGAAGAACAAAUGUGUAAGUAACUAUGCACGUCUUGACGGUACCUAAUCAGAAAGCCACGGCUAACUACGUG